rnacentral:lncRNA from 1 species
CAAUUAGCUAUCGGUUGGUCGAAAUACUAGCAGACAGAGCUAGUGACUGAGUACUGUUCGUGAUUCCGACAUCUCCGUUCUGUUUGUUGGUACUGCUGUCCUCUUGAGUGCUAAGCGGUACCAGCCUACAACCAUCAUUUCGUAAUCUAUCACUAAUAAUAAAAGCAGUAAGGUUUCCUUCGUUGUCAUCCGUCGUGCAUCAAUUUUCGUGCCUGUCCUGAUUUUUCAUGUUUUCUUACACUCCAUUGAACUUCUCUUUUUCUAUUUCCACAGCGCUGCCUUCCCGGGCCGCCACCGCCGACUCAACUGCCCGCGCAGCACCUCCCUGCGGUGAUACGUGUCGGCGCCUGAUUAGAUUCCCGUGGAAGAGACGAGUAAGGGGUCCAGGUCUGGCCAACGCUAUCCACCCCCGUGCAGUUUCUCAUGCACUGCGCCAUCGCGUGCUCCAUGACCUUCUUCUGACGCCAGCCACGACCGGCGGGCGGCGUGAACUGGGUGCCAUGUCCGUGACCGCGGCUGCUAGCAUUGACACCGAGAUCAUUUUGAUUGAAUGUCCACUUAUAUUAUUAUGUUUUGUAUAAACAUGAAUUUUCGCGUGCACAUGUUUAAGAGGCCGUGACAACGCACGGACAGUGUACUAGUCGCC